AACUAGAUUGUCAGACUAAGUCGAGUCGUGUUUGUGUUUGUAUCGUUGGCGCGCGCUCGAUUCGGUCUAACAUAACCUCAAAGUAGACAAUGUUACUUGGAGCCGGCUUCAUUAGUUGCUGUCGAGUGUUUCACAUGUUUCUACAUUCGAGAUUACUUCGGUGAUACUUCCACCCUGAUAAACUGAAUUUUUCAAUCAUUCUUGAUAUUUCAACUGAAUAAUAAUUUUGAAUGUUUGACGAUUACUUUUUUAGAGGUUAGUUUUCCAAACAAACAGGCUUAGCCUAAUAUUUGUGAGGAAAAUAUCAAGCAGAUUGUAUUACAGUGAACCGAUGGAAUAUACACCGUCGGAGGUGUCAACUGCCUCGACAACCACGGCUGCCACCUCCUCCUCCUCCACCUCCUCCUCAAUCAACCACCACCCGGUUUCCGGAACUCCUCCUCUCUCGCUUCCGCAGCAGGCGACCGCAGCCGCAGGCAGCACCACCGCCUCCGCAGCUGCGGCUGUCACCAGCAGCAGUGGCGUCAAGAUACUCAGCCGAAACGCCAACGGCACAUUAAUCUACACCCAUAGACCAAGAGACGAGGCUGAACUGCAACUCUAUAGGGUUAUGCAGAGGGCAAGUUUGUUGGCAUACUACGACACGCUCUUGGAAAUGGGUGGUGAUGAUGUGCAACAGCUGUGCGAAGCUGGAGAAGAGGAAUUUCUGGAAAUCAUGGCGCUAGUUGGAAUGGCUUCGAAGCCCCUGCACGUCAGGAGGUUGCAGAAAGCAUUACAAGAAUGGCUUAGCAAUCCUUCUAUGUUCCAGAUGCCACUUGGAGCCACUCCAAGCAUUUCGUCGAGUCGAUCCGAAGCGCUUCCCCUUCCCCUCAGUCCCCAGGCCACAUCCCCCAGUCCCCUCCCCACCACCACCAUUUCCACUUCUGCGCCUUCCCCAAACAAUCUGGGAGCCGACUCGUGUCCGCGAACAAGCCCAGGUGUGGGCAGUGCAGCCCGCAGCUGCAGUCCCCCCGGCUCCCCGAUGCAGGGGACCCCCGUCCUGGUCGCCAGUCAGAUCGCGCGACUCGCCGAGGCCGCUCAGCGACUGGUCAGGAAUCUGCCGCAUCUCGAGCCCAAGAUCAGUGUCGCCAAGAAGAAGAGCUGCAAGGAUCUUGAGAUGCUGCUUGGUAUGCCUGAAGACGACCCCCGAAGGAUGGACCAGAUAAGGAAGUUCGCGGCCAUCUACGGAAGGUUUGACUGCAAGAGAAAGCCUGAGAAACCGCUCACUCUUCAUGAGGUUUCUGUGAAUGAAGCGGCAGCUCAAAUUUGCAGACUGGCACCAGCACUUUUAACCAGGAGAGAUGAGCUGUUCCCAUUGGCCAGACAAGUUGUUAGAGACUCUGGAUACCACUAUUCCAAAGGACAUUCCAAAUCAUAUUCUAGUCUUAGUAUGCGAAAUAGCAGCAUGAAUGGCGACAACGGAGGACCAAUGAAGAGAGCGAGACUGGACGGUUGUUCACCGAUUUCCGUUCUUCCUUCUGACUCAACUGAAGAAUUGGCACUUCGCUUGAAACGUCAGGAACGCCUCUCUCAAGUAGGUGACGAGCUGAGGAGAGUAACGGAGCAAGUAGAGCAAGUGUACCGAGAGUCGUCUGCUGAGUUUUCACUCCACCUGCAGGUGGAAGCACUGCAGACGCGGCAGGCCCAACUCCUCUUGGAGCAAAAUGAGCUACUGAAGCAGCACAACUCUGUACACCACAAUCACCACAGGCUUUACAGGAGGCCAAGCCGAACAUCAUGUUUUGACUCAGAGAAACUUGAUACAGACGAUACUGAUUCACAAUUCUCCUUCAGUAAUGCUAGUUCUCCUUCUCAGGAAAUUGGUGACUCAAGAGACUCUUUGCGGGAGUCUGACAGCAAUGAUCUGAGACAGGUAAAACAGGAACCUGAAGGGGAAGGUGCUUCAUGGAGUUUCCGAGGUCGGGACAUCUUUCCGAUGAGGGAGAGAACGGCAACAACGGGGACAAGGAUUUAUUGGUAACCAAAAACGAGCCACAAGACAACAACCACUAUGAAGACUCAUUUUACCAAGAGAAUAAAGUUCAGGUGAUUGCAUCUAGUGGUGGCAACAUAAUAGCAGUGGCCAAUCCAGCUCUGUCCAUGUCCCCCGCCAUCGCAGAGCCGCUGCUCAAGAAAGAACUGUCUUCGACCGACAAUAACUAAUUAGAUAGAUUAGAAUUAUGUAAUUGCUUAUAUCGACAUAAAGUGAGAACAAAGACAAUGCAAAUGUUGUAGAAUCAUGAUAGAUACGUUAGAAGAAGAAAUCGCUAUUUAAUUGUAUUACAGUAUUGAUUGUUCAUUCAUAGAGAAUUUUUUCACCUAGUAAUGGUGAGAAUAAAUCUAAUGCAAUCUAUUCAAGUUUGAAAGAGUUAAAUUUUGGAUCUGAACAGGAUCUUUAUAAUUUCUCUGUAAUUGUAAGUUUAAUCAAUCCAUUAAUAUCCAUAGAAAAUCUCUAUAUUCUAGGCCUAUUCAAAUUUGUACUUAUAAAAAUAUUGAGGAAAUAGAACAACAAUUUAAGAUUCUUUAUUUCACAAUAUAAUUAUAAAGAAAUGAUACUUCCUUUUGAAUCAAAUAACAAUUACAUUUGAUGGUUCAAUAUUUUCCCAGGUUAAAUGUAUUGUUAUACUAGAAUGUACAAUUUUUAAUUGUAUAUUGCUAUUUCGAUAUGAUGUUUUACAGCUCUUAAAAUUUUGGAAAAUAUCAAUUAAAUAUUAAUAAAAUUCCUUUUUUUGUAAUGGUAAUUGAGUUUGCUGUUGUAUAACUUGUUAGAUGUUCACCAUUGAUACAAUAAUACUAUGAAAAACUGGACUGUCUGGUUCAGAUGAUCAAUAAUAUGAUCAUUGUUUGAAUGCUCAUUCAAACAUUUUAGAUGCUCAUUUCAAUAUUUUACGAAAAUAAAUGAACAUGUUCAAGUUCUUUAUGUUUUUUCGUAUAUAAUAACAUAGCUUAUAUAGUUCUUGAAGAAUAGGAAAUUUAUUUGAAUGUAAGUAAUAUUUUUUUACUAAAAUCAAACCUUUAUUAGCUUUCAAUUUACCAAGUCAAUAAAAUCGAGUCUAAUGUAUUUUCUUACCAAGAAGUUUGAUGAAUCUGUUUGAAAGUUGCAAAAACCUUACGUCAGAAGGUUUUUUAUUGUUUACACUUUUACAGUAUCAAUCACGCUGAGAAGAAAUGAUUGCGUAUAGUAUUUAAAUUUCAUUAGACAAUAAGGAAAUGAGAUGCAUUGCUGAAAAAUAGACUAGUAGCUAUUAGGCUACUGAAAUGAUGAUAUUAUACUGAAUCUGAUCUUUUCUGUGUGAUUCAGUAUAAGAAGAUUCUCAUUUGAUUUGUGUGGAAUAAAAAAAUGUACAAAAUUGAGCUGUAGAAAAAUAUCAUAAUCCAUUAAAAAUUAUUAUUAGUU